rnacentral:tRNA from 1 species
CGGGGUAUUAGCUCAGCUGGUUAGAGCGCCGGCCUGUCACGUCGGAGGUCGCGGGUUCGAGCCCCGCAUAUCCCGCCAU